UAGAAUGGACGGUGACAUUGCGCCUGUCAACCACACAACUGAGGAAGCCUUGUAAUUGUAGAUGCUACACAAACUGUUGUGAGCAGUUUUGAUCAUAGGAUUCGUUGGACAGUGUAUUGACAGCUGAGUUUCAUGUCUGAACUCAAGACAGAUUCCUGUAACUUUUGAACCUAAACAACAAAAUGCUCCACUGGCCCAAACCCAUAUCCGGAAUCACUUAAAAGUUAAAUUAUUGUCGCUCACCUACUUAGGCCUGUUCAAAAAAAUUAACAACCCGCACCCGCCCGAUAAAUCCAUCCGACCCCACCCGUUAAAUGCGGGUUCAACUGGACAACGGGUUGGAAAUCAUCCAACCCGCUGUUUAACGGGCGAAACAGCAGCCCGAGACUUUAUCGUCCAUUCCAAACUUUGGAAUCCAAAGUUCAAACAUCCAAACCUAGACCUCUCUCUCUCUCUUUAUCUCUCUCCUUCCUCGUUCACGCCUGCAGAAACCGAGUCUCUCUCUCUCCUCGAUCGCGCCUCCAAGCAACCGAGUACUCCAAGCAAACACUUCAGCCCUAGCCAGUGGCGUCCGUUCUCUGUCGCCGUCUCCAUCGGCGUUCUCCGUCGCUGUUCGUCAUCACCGUCGGCCGCAGCUCCAAGAUCAAGUCGAUUUGCUGAGAUUUAGGUCAUGGCUUUGUGGAAGAGACUGUGGCAGAAUGAUUUUGGGCCCUUCAUUGGGUGCCUUAUCCAUGCGAGGCUUUACAGAUCCAAGGUGGACCUAAGCAAGCUCAGGCCAAUGAUUCUAAAACGAAUCGAGAGCCGGGCCAAGGAAUACCCGGUGCGCGGCAUGGUGCCGGUCGCCCAGGAGGUCCUUAAGGCUCGAUCAGUCCUCUUCCAUGGCGUGUCCACUCUUCUCAAAGUCUUUCCCAUCAUGGCGUGCAAGGGACAUGAAUCCGUGACCCAACCACCAAUCCAUUAUUGUUCUGUCUGGAAGUAUAUAUUGGUGAGAAAGGUCACUUAAUUCAGACUUGCCACGGUUAUAAGCGUCGUGCCAAGAAUCGUGUUCAUGAAUGGAUUAGUGGUGGUGUGAAUGAUAUACUUGUUCCAGUAGAAACAUUCCAUCUACAGAACAUGUUCCAAGACGUUAUUAAACACCACCAGAGGUUUGAUUUUGACCGUGUUCCUGCAGUUGUUGAACUGUGCUUGCAGGCUGGAGCUUAUCCUAAUGAUGAAAAUCUAUACUCCAGCAGUACGAUUGAAUGUGUACCUGCUGGAAUUGAAGGAGCGGACUCAUUGUCGCCUCAUGAACUAAUGAUGGUUGCCAAUAGAACCUUCAAAGCAUGGGAGAUGCUCAGAAGUGGUGUACUGAAGUUGUUGUUGGUUUAUCCGGCAAAAGUCUGUAAAUACUGUUCAGAAGUCCAUGUUGGGCCAUCUGGGCACAAGGCUAGGCUUUGUGGAGUAUUCAAGUAUGAGAGUUGGCGGGGAGGCCACUUUUGGAAGAAAGCAGAAGUAGAUGAUUUGGUACCUCCUAAGAUUGUAUGGAGGCGGCGGCCUCAGGAUCCUCCUGUCCUUCUGGAUGCCCAUAGAGACUUUUAUGGCCAUGCACCAGCAGUGGUGGAUCUGUGCGCGCAGGCUGGCGUUAUUGUACCAACCAAGUAUAAUUGUGCGAUGAAAGUGCAAGGUUUAUCAGGACCUGUUCAACUCAAAGUUUGAAGCAUGAUAUAAGUUGAAUUCUUAGCGGGUUGGCUUCAGGGAACUUGAUCUGUACAUUGGGUAUAGCUCAAUCCACCCGGAGAGUGACAUUUUGGGUCUCUCAUAAAAGGUUUAUUGGUAUGCACUUUUGCUUCCAGCAACAAAUUUUGUUAGCAUGGCCUCUAACCGAACAAGAAAUAGAAUAAUAGUUUUGAAUGAACCCAUAUAUGGUUUAAUUGUUAUGUUUGUACAUUUUUCUUGGUAUGGAUUUGAUAAAUAUUAUCCACUGAUUUGCGAACCCCAAGUCCAUGUAAUGGAUGGUCUCCAAACAUAGCCACAACAGGACGUAGAGGUCUGCUUACAUCCGAUGAUAAAGAGUCAACCUAAGAGGCCUAGAAUGUUGAGAAGAAGAGCUACUGAUGAACAACCUAUGGCAAUUGUUAAGGUACAUCCCACAAUGGUAUACAUGAAUGUCCUGUACCUAUAAAAUCCUAAUGCAAGGGUGUCGCCUAAAAGAAUGAAGAGGCCAAAGCAACAUUGCAUGUGAUUAAACCAACUUCUUCCCAGCCUAUGGAGCAAACCCAGGCUUUAGCUACUUCAACACAGUAGCUCAGGCAUGUAAGUGCACCACAACCUAUGGAAUGCUACCCAUGGGUUAAAGCUAAGAUCAACAUGGGCAAUGAUUAUCUAUGAGCAAUCUAGUAGUGGUUUUGUUCUAGGAAGGUUAUUUUUGAAUUAUUGGAAUAGAUUGCAACAAAAGAGUAAGCACUAUUGGUGCUUUUUUUUUUUUUUUUUAAAAGAUGGAGUAGUGAUGCUAGUUGAACAAUGGCCGGGGUACUUGAUAAUGCAUUUUUUGAUGGUUGCCUUUUUGCUUGAUGGAAAUGUGAAGUUUAUUUGAACAAUGUGAUGUAAUAAUGCACUGUGUGUCAUGUUUGUCUUUUUUGUAUAUAAAUGAAGUCUGCGAUGAUUGCAUCUU